AUGGAAUGAGAAUAUAUUCUCUUAACAAUAAGUUAAUCUAAAAUCGCCUAUAUAUAAUCAUUUCAUGAACUUAAACAAGUAUGCUUACAAACAUAGAGGUGCGAAUUCGCAACAAAAACAAUGACAGGAAAGUCAUCUUGGCCAGAGCUUGUAGGGGUACGUGGAGAUGAAGCAGUGAAGGCAAUAGAGAAAGAAAGGCCAGACGUGAAAGCCAUUAUAAUACCACCAUGCCAACCGGUUAUAACUUUAGACUAUGUGUCCAAUCGAGUUCGAGUCGUCGUCGGUGGUCAUGGGAAGGUGUCUCACGUACCUGUCGUCGGCUAAUCAACUCUUCCCUCACUUUGUAAUGUCACACCUUAAAUUGCACUACGACAAAAUAAAAUUAAGGUGUGUAUUUUCCACACCCAACUUAAUCAUAAUCCUUCCUUUUUUUUUUUUGAGUA